rnacentral:lncRNA from 1 species
AUUUAUAUUUUUAUUUUUGUUUAUUGGGCCUAAAUGAUUAGGCUUGGCACUACUUUAUCAUUCACGCCCUAUUUUUUUAUUUCACCUCCCUUUUCUUUUUUCACUCCCCUCAUGUUUUUUUAUCAAUUGAUUUAAUUUCAUUUUGUUUUCUAUUAUUUAAUAUUGUAAAAUAAAUACCAAGAAUUAAAACCCCAUUUUAUUUUCAAUAAAAAUCAACCACUUUCGUAAUUUAAUCAAAAAUAUUUU